rnacentral:rRNA from 1 species
GAUGAACGCUGGCGGCGUGCCUAAUACAUGCAAGUAGAACGCUGAAGGAGGAGCUUGCUCUUCUGGAUGAGUUGCGAACGGGUGAGUAACGCGUAGGUAACCUGCCUGGUAGCGGGGGAUAACUAUUGGAAACGAUAGCUAAUACCGCAUGACAACAGUUAUUGCAUGAUAACUGUUUAAAAGGGGCAACUGCUCCACUACCAGAUGGACCUGCGUUGUAUUAGCUAGUUGGUGAGGUAACGGCUCACCAAGGCGACGAUACAUAGCCGACCUGAGAGGGUGAUCGGCCACACUGGGACUGAGACACGGCCCAGACUCCUACGGGAGGCAGCAGUAGGGAAUCUUCGGCAAUGGACGGAAGUCUGACCGAGCAACGCCGCGUGAGUGAAGAAGGUUUUCGGAUCGUAAAGCUCUGUUGUAAGAGAAGAACGAGUGUGAGAGUGGAAAGUUCACACUGUGACGGUAGCUUACCAGAAAGGGACGGCUAGCUACGUG